rnacentral:rRNA from 1 species
AACGUAGGAGACAAACGUUAUCCGGAGUUACUGGGCGUAAAGGGCGUGUAGGUGGUUACGUAAGUCUGGCGUGAAAUUUCUCGGCUUAACCGAGGCAGGUCGUCGGAUACUGCGGGACUAGAGGACGGUAGAGGCGUGUGGAAUUCCGGGUGUAGCGGUGAAAUGCGUAGAGAUCCGGAGGAACACCAGUGGCGAAGGCGACUCGCUGGGCCGUACCUGACACUGAUGCACGCCAGCAUGGGGAGCAAACAGG